GCAAGCUGGACAGCCGCGCCUGCGGGGCGAAAGGCCCGCGGGUGAGGAAAGUCCGGGCUCCAUAGGGCAAGGAUAACGGAUAACAUCCGCCGGGGGCGACCCUAGGAAAAGUGCAACAGAGAUAUACCGCCUUGGUUCCCCUCUAAUGGGGCCCCCGCGAAAGCGUUUGCUUUCGUGGGGAGAGGAGGCACAGCGGAAGGAGCGAGCUUUACCCCUCGGGGUAAAGCGAGUGAUCGGAAGCUUGUGCCGACGAGGUAAGGGUGGAAAGGCGAGGUAAGAGCUCACCCGAUGGCGUGCCAAGCGUCCAUCGCUGUAAACUCUAUCCGGAGCAACGCCGUGGAGGGACACAUAGGCCGGCCCGGCCGUCCCGGGGAGGCGGCUUGAGCGUACCGGCAACGGUGCGUCGAGAUAGAUGGCUGUCUUAAAGGACAGAACCCGGCUUACAGGCUUACUU
rnacentral:RNase_P_RNA from 1 species